rnacentral:rRNA from 1 species
GGAGUUAGCCGGUGCUUCUUCUGCGAGUAACGUCACAGAUGUAAGGUAUUAACUUACACCCUUUCCUCCUCGCUGAAAGUGCUUUACAACCCGAAGGCCUUCUUCACACACGCGGCAUGGCUGCAUCAGGGUUUCCCCCAUUGUGCAAUAUUCCCCACUGCUGCCUCCCGUAGGAGUCUGGGCCGUGUCUCAGUCCCAGUGUGGCUGAUCAUCCUCUCAGACCAGCUAGGGAUCGUCGCCUAGGUGAGCCUUUACCUCACCUACUAGCUAAUCCCACCUGGGCUUAUCCAUCAGCGCAAGGCCCGAAGGUCCCCUGCUUUCCCCCGUAGGGCGUAUGCCGGUAUUAGCAGUCGUUUCCAACUGUUAUCCCCCACAACUGGGCAAAUUCCCAGGCCAUUACUCACCCGUCCGCCGCUCGUCAUCUUCAAAAGCAAGCUUUUGAAAUGUUACCGCUCGACUUGCAUGUGUUAGGCCUGCCGCCAGCGUUCAAUCUGAGCCAUAGNACCAAGCUGACG